AGCACAGGAUUGCAUUUGUGGUGGGCUGAGAGUGUGAUACAUUGCACUGCGUGGAAGCAGUGGUGCUGGGCAGAGCCAUAAAUAUCACAGGAUUGCAUUGGUGCUACACAGAGCCAUAAGCAGCACGGAAUUGCAUUGGUGCUGGGCUGAGAGUGUGAUAAAUUGCACUGCGUGGCUGCAUUGGUGCUGUGCAGGGAUAUAAACCUCGUGGAAAUGCGUUGGUGCUGUGCAGAGCCAUUAGCAGCACGGAAUUGCAUUGGUGGUGGGCUGAGAGUGUGAUAAAUUGCACUGCGUGGAUGCAUUGGUGCUGCGCAGAGCCAUAAGCAGCACAGAAUUGCAUUGGUGCUGGGCUGAGAAUUGCUGUAAGCUGCACUGUGUGGCUGCAUUGGUGCUGCACAGGGAUAUAAACCUCACUGAAAUGCAUUGGUGCUGGGCAGAGCGGUGCUAUAAACAGCAGUGCAUGAAAUACAUUGGUGCUGUGCAGGGAUAUAAGCACCACAGAGCUGCAUUGGUGCUGUGUAGGGACAUGAGCACCACGGAAUUGCAUUGGUGCCGUGUAGAGCAGUGCUGUAAACAGCCGUGCAUGGCUGCAUUGGUGCUGGGCAGGGACAUAAACCUCACGGAAAUGCAUUGGUGCUGCACAGAGCCACAAACAUCACAGGUUUGCAUUGGUGCUGGGCUGAGCAGUGCUGUCAGCUGCACUGCGUGGCUGCAUUGGUGCUGUGCAGGGAUAUAAACCUCACGGAAAUGCAUUGGUGCUGUGUAUAGCAGUGAUGUAGGCUGCACUGCAUGGAUGCAUUGGUGCUGUGCAAGAUGGUAAACCUCAUGGAAGUGCGUCGGUGCUGCAAAGAGCCACAAACAUCACAGAGCUGCAUUGGUGCAGUGCAGAGCUCAGGGUCACAAACAGCACUGCAUGCAUCGGUGCUGUACAGGGACACAAACAGCACUGCAUGCAUUGGUGCCACAUGGGGUCAUAAACAGCACUGCAUGCAUCCGUGCUGCACGGGGACACAAACAGCACUGCAUGCAUCGGUGCUGCAUGGGGGGGGGGGUCACAAGACAGCGCUGCAUGCAUCGCAGAGCAGGGCUGUAAACCUGACAGCAGUGCAUGGGCGCAGCUCAGAGCAGAGGGGAAACGUUGCAGCAGGAAGGUGGACGGACGGACGGGCAGGCAGGCAGGCAGACAGACGGACGCGGGUUUUGCCCCCGUGCCCGGUUGCGGUGCUGCAGCUUGGACUGGGGGGGGGUUGGGCUGCACCGCGCUGCACCGCGCGUCACCAGGCAGGACCUGGACCUGCAGGGCUCCUCAUUCGGUCAUUAAGGUCAUUUCCUGCCCAACCAUCCCGUGGUUCUGUGAUCUUCCAGGACCUUUCCAACCCAACCCAACCAUCCCGUGGUUCUGUGAUCUUCCAGGACCUUUCCAACCCAACCCAACUAUCCCACUGUUCUGUGAUCUUCCAGGACCUUUCCAAUCUAACCCAACCCAACCAUCCCGUGGUUCUGUGAUCAUCCAGGACCCUUCCAACCCAACCCAACCCAACCAUCCCAUGGUUCUGUGAUCUUCCAGGACCUUUCCAACCCAACCCAACCAUCUGAUGGGUCUGUGAUCUUCCAGGACCUUUCCAACCCAACCAUCCCACAGUUCUGUGAUCUUCCAGGACCUUUCCAAUUCAAUCCAAGUUUUCCAUGGUUCGGUAACCUUUCAGGACCCUUCUAAUUUAAUUCAACUAUUCCACAAUUUUGUGACCUUCCAGGACCUUUCCAACCCAUCCAUUUCAUGGUUUUGUGACCUUCAAGAACCCUUCUAACCCAGUCCAACACAAC
ensembl:lncRNA